GAUGAACGCUGGCGGCGUGCCUAAUACAUGCAAGUCGAGCGAACGGACGAGAAGCUUGCUUCUCUGAUGUUAGCGGCGGACGGGUGAGUAACACGUGGAUAACCUACCUAUAAGACUGGGAUAACUUCGGGAAACCGGAGCUAAUACCGGAUGAUAUUUUGAACCGCAUGGUUCAAAAGUGAAAGACGGUCUUGCUGUCACUUAUAGAUGGAUCCGCGCUGCAUUAGCUAGUUGGUAAGGUAACGGCUUACCAAGGCAACGAUGCGUAGCCGACCUGAGGGGGAGGGAGCGGAGCAGUGCAGGGUGCCACGGACGAGACUACUACGGGAGGCAGCAGCGCGGUAUGUGACGCAAUGGUCGGAAGAUUGUCAGAGUGAGGUAGUGUGAGAGAUUACGGUCUUCCGAACGUAAAAAUGUGUUACCAGGGCAGAACCAAAGUGCAAGUAAAUGUGCCGGGCUGGACGGUGAGUAAUAAGACAGACACGGCUAAGUAAGUG
rnacentral:rRNA from 1 species